GGGGAUUUAGCGCAGUGGUAGAGCAUUUGCUUAGCAAGCACAAGGCCCUGGGUUCGGUCCCCAGCUCCG
rnacentral:tRNA from 1 species